ensembl:misc_RNA Metazoa_SRP Metazoan signal recognition particle RNA
GCCAGGCGCGGUAGCACGUGCCUAUAGUCCCAGCUAUUCAGGAGGCUGAGGCUGGAGGAUCUCUUGAGUCCAGGAGUUCUGGGCUGUAGUGCGCUAUGCUGAUCAGGUGUCUGCACUAAGUUCAACAUCAAUAUGGUGACCUCCCGAGAGUGGGGAACCACCAGGUUGCCUAAGGAGGGGUGACCCAGCCCAGGUCUGAAACAGAGCAGGUCAAAACUCUCGUGCUGAUCAGUAGUGGGAUCGCGCCUGUGAAUAGCCACUGCACUCCGGCCUGGGCAACAUAGCAAGACCCUGUCUCUU